GUGGUUGUGCUGGAGUGGUUAUUGGGCAUGAUUAGAAAUCAUGUGGGCUCUGCCGUGCAUGUUCGAAUCCUGCCGACCACG
rnacentral:tRNA from 1 species